AAAGAAAGUUGAGCAAGAUAGAAAAAAGCUACGAGUUUUGAAGUUCUGCUCUUUGAUAGAUGCAUGAUAUACCUCAGUUUCUAUUUUAUAUAGUGCGAGAGAGGAGUUCAACGUUUCAAUAGUUAUUUUCCUGGGUUUUCUACGCAACUGAAGCUGGCAUUGGAAAUUGAUUUCUUUUAUUUUGUUUCUUAUUUUGUAUAUUUUGAUUGUUCUGUUGAUUAUUGGGUUGCUGCGGUUUGCGUGAUGAAGUUGCUUCUUGGGUUAUCAGGACAAUUACUUACUUGUGCACCGUUAUCAUCUUAGCGCAAGUAUUUCAUCAUUCUUGUUUAAGCUUCUUAUUUGUGUGUUUCAGAUAGCAUACUUGAUCUCUUCAUUGAUUUCCAUUGGCGGUUUGUAAGUAAAGAAUACACUGGGAGUGGGAAAGUUUGGUGGGUACUAAUCAAGUUGCAGAAUCUGAGAUGUCUAGUCAAGGGAGUUAUAAUCCUCAAUCCGGACAAGGUCCUCAGACGCCUAGGACACCUCCAUUUUUACAGCAGCCACCGGCGGCGCUGCCUCCUUUACCCCACAAUUUCCAGCAAGGUCCACUGCUGCCAUCACCUCAAGUUCUACCUCGCCCUGG
rnacentral:misc_RNA from 1 species